rnacentral:rRNA from 1 species
UACGAAGGGGGCUAGCGUUGUUCGGAAUUACUGGGCGUAAAGCGCGCGUAGGCGGGCAUUUAAGUCAGGGGUGAAAUCCCGGGGCUCAACCCCGGAACUGCCUUUGAUACUGGGUGCCUAGAGUCCGGAAGAGGUGAGUGGAAUUGCGAGUGUAGAGGUGAAAUUCGUAGAUAUUCGCAGGAACACCAGUGGCGAAGGCGGCUCACUGGUCCGGUACUGACGCUGAGGUGCGAAAGCGUGGGGAGCAAACAGGAUUAGAUACCCCCGUAGUCC